CCCUUAGAUGUCCUGGGCCGCACGCGUGCUACACUGACGCAUACAACGAGUAUUUCCAGCUCCGAGAGGUAGCUGGUAAUCAGCAAUAUGCGUCGUGAUGGGGAUUGAUCUUUGGAAUUGUGGAUCAUGAACGAGGAAUGCCUAGUAAACGCAAGUCAUCAGCUUGCAUUGAUUACGUCCCUGCCCUUUGUACACACCGCCCGUCGCACCUACCGAUUGAAUGGUCCGGUGAAAUCUCGGGACGGCGGCUUGGUCGCUUGCGUCCGACUGCUGAAACUUGAUUAAACCAUAUCAUUUAGAGGAAGGUGAAGUCGUAACA
rnacentral:rRNA from 1 species